rnacentral:rRNA from 1 species
GACGAACGCUGGCGGCGUGCUUAACACAUGCAAGUCGAACGGUGAAGCGCCUUCCUUUUUGGUGGGUGUGGAUGAGUGGCGAACGGGUGAGUAACACGUGAGUAACCUGCCCCCUUCUUCUGGAUAACCGCAUGAAAGUGUGGCUAGUACGGGAUAUUCUGGGUCUGUCGCAUGAUGGGUCUGGGAAAGAUAUUGUUUCGGUGGGGGAUGGGCUCGCGGCCUAUCAGCUUGUUGGUGGGGUGAUGGCCUGCCAAGGCGGUGACGGGUAGCCGGCCUGAGAGGGUGGACGGUCACACUGGGACUGAGACACGGCCCAGACUCCUACGGGAGGCAGCAGUGGGGAAUAUGGCACAAUGGGCGCAAGCCUGAUGCAGCGACGCCGCGUGAGGGAUGGAGGCCUUCGGGUUGUGAACCUCUUUCGCCAGUGAAGCAGGCCUGCCUCGUUUGUGGGUGGGUUGACGGUAGCUGGAUAAGAAGCGCCGGCUAACUACGUG